ensembl:lncRNA
GGGUCUUCGUUGCUGCGCUCAGGCUUUCUCUAGUUGCAGCAAGCAGGGGGCUACUCUUUGAUGUGGUGCUCACGCUUCUCGCGUGGUGGCUUCUCUCGUUGCAGAGCGUGGGCUCUAGAGCACAGGCUCAGUAAUCGUGAUGCACGGGCUUAGCUGCCCUGUGGCAUGUGGAACCUUCCCGACCAGGGAUCAAACCCCUGUCACCUGCAUUGGCAGGCAGAUUCUUAACCACUGAACUACUAGAGAAGUCCAAGAAGCAUUUCUUAAUCACUCUUUAAUUUUGCUCUUCCUCACGGCCUUCACUCCAGGCCAAGCCACAUCCACGGACGCAUUCUCUUCACUCUCUGAAAUCACUUCAAUUACUCAUUGGUUCCCUUAGCCUCUGUCUUCCUGCUCCAGACAUCAGUAUCCUGAGAGCAGGCCUCCACCAUGAUGCUCAUCCAACACACUCAGCCACCUGGAAAGCACCUGGUACCCAGUAAGUGAACCACAAGUAUUAAUCUGGAGCCUCCCUGGGGGGAAAACUCCAGAUUCUUCACUGUUCCUCACUCCCGCCUGCUAUCAGAGGCCUGUUCUGAAAUCUGAUCCUGGGUUGCUACUAAGCACUGUGCAUUGUCCCCCAGGGAAAGGGAGAGAAGCUGAAACCGACUCACUUGAUUAUGGAGGCUAAGAAGAGGAGACCCAAGAAAGCCAGUGAUGUAACUCCAGUCCAAGUCUGAAGACCGGAGAACCAGGAGUGCCUAUGGUAUAAGUCCUGAUCCAAGGACAGGAGGAAUAGGAGCACCACAGGCCUUCCCUGGUGGCUCAACUGUACAGAAUCUGAGAAUCCAUCUGCCAACACAGGGUGCUUGGGUUUGACCCCUGGGUCGGGAAGAUAUCCUGGAGAAAGAAAUGGCAACCCACUCCAGUAUUCUUGGCUGGGAAAUCCCAUGGACCGAGGAGCCAGGUGGGCUCCAGCCCUUGGGGUCACAAAGAGUCAGAUACAACUUAGUGACUUAACAACAGCAAGGAGCACCAGAAUUUUGGGCAAGCCAGUUGCAGAAGAUGACACUGGAUUUAUUUCAUGGACUUUUUUUCUAUCUUCCUUGGCAUCUAUAUAAAAAAGCA